rnacentral:rRNA from 1 species
GACGAACGCUGGCGGCGUGCUUAACACAUGCAAGUCGAACGGAGAGGCCCUGCUUUUGUGGGGUGCUCGAGUGGCGAACGGGUGAGUAACACGUGAGUAACCUGCCCUUGACUUUGGGAUAACUUCAGGAAACUGGGGCUAAUACCGGAUAGGAGCUCCUGCUGCAUGGUGGGGGUUGGAAAGUUUCGGCGGUUGGGGAUGGACUCGCGGCUUAUCAGCUUGUUGGUGGGGUAGUGGCUUACCAAGGCUUUGACGGGUAGCCGGCCUGAGAGGGUGACCGGCCACAUUGGGACUGAGAUACGGCCCAGACUCCUACGGGAGGCAGCAGUGGGAAAUAUUGCACAAUGGGCGGAAGCCUGAUGAAGAAACGCCGCGUGCGGGAUGACGGCCUUCGGGUUGUAAACCGCUUUCGCCUGUGACGAAGCGUGAGUGACGGUAAUGGGUAAAGAAGCACCGGCUAACUACGUG